rnacentral:lncRNA from 1 species
UGCAGACGGUUCAUUGGUGUAUAUAGAAUGUUGGUUGUGUGUUGUUUGGGGAUAACAGAUUGUAGGUGGAAGGUGAUGUAAAUCUAGUUAGAUGUGGGAAGGUUUUGGUUUGUAUGAGUGGUAUAUUGUUAAUGAAGAGAGGUGACAUUUAUGGUGGUGCUAGUUUUGUUUAUGAAUAAUAGUACGGAUGGAGUUAUAGUGAAAGGAUGAGGGUAACAU